UUAGCGUUCGUAGUAGAGGUGGACGCAUCUGAGGCUGGGGUGGGUGCCGUGCUAUCACAGCGCUCGGGUGCGCCACCGAAACUCCGCCCCUGCGCUUUCUUCUCAAGGAAGCUCAGUUCGGCGGAGCGUAACUACGAUGUGGGGGACAGGGAGUUGCUAGCGGUAGUCAAAGCCUUGAGGGUGUGGCGACACUGGCUUGAGGGGGCUAAGCACCCCUUUCUCAUCUGGACCGACCACCGAAACCUGGAGUACAUCCGGGCAGCGAGGAGACUGAAUCCACGUCAGGCAAGUGUGUGUUAGGGUACCAGCCAGUCCUGGCCCCAUGGCACCAGAGCCAGACCGAGGCUCCUGCGGUGGAGGACUGGGUUCAGCACUACAAGGAGACCUGGAAAGCAGUACAGGACUCACUGAAGGAGGCCAGUGCUAGGCAGAAAAGGAGUGCUGACCGCCACCGCGGUGAGGCGCCGGUGUUCGCACCGGGUGACAGGGUCUGGCUCUCGACCCGGAACCUGUCCCUCCGCGUGCCCUGCCGGAAGCUGGGG
rnacentral:lncRNA from 1 species